rnacentral:rRNA from 1 species
UGGGGAAUUUUGGACAAUGGGCGCAAGCCUGAUCCAGCAAUGCCGCGUGCAGGAUGAAGGCCUUCGGGUUGUAGACUGCUUUUGUACGGAACGAAAAAGCUCUCUCUAAUACAGGGGGUGAAUGACGGUACCGUAAGAAUAAGCACCGGCUAACUACGUGCCAGCAGCCGCGGUAAUACGUAGGGUGCAAGCGUUAAUCGGAAUUACUGGGCGUAAAGCGUGCGCAGGCGGUUUUGUAAGACAGAGGUGAAAUCCCCGGGCUCAACCUGGGAACUGCCUUUGUGACUGCAAAGCUGGAGUGCGGCAGAGGGCGAUGGAAUUCCGCGUGUAGCAGUGAAAUGCGUAGAUAUGCGGAGGAACACCGAUGGCGAAGGCAAUCCCCUGGGCCUGCACUGACGCUCAUGCACGAAAGCGUGGGGAGCAAACA